GGAUGCGAUCAUACCAGCAGUAAAGCACAGGAUCUCAUUAGAACUCCGAACUUAAGCAUGCUUGGGCGAGAGUAGUACUAGGAUGGGUGACCUCCUGGGAAGUCCUCGUGUUGCAUUCC
rnacentral:rRNA from 1 species